rnacentral:rRNA from 1 species
AUUGAACGCUAGCGGCAGGCUUUACACAUGCAAGUCUAACGAGUGGCGGACGGGUGAGUAAUAUCUCGGAAACUGCCUAGUGGAGGGGGAUAACUACUCGAAAGGGUAGCUAAUCCCGCAUACUAUUAGAUCUGCCCAUAUGGGAUUAGCUAGCUGGUGGGGUAACGGAUCACCAAGGCGACGAUCCCUAGCUGGGAUGAGAGGAUGACCAGCCACACUGGAACUGAGACACGGGCCAGACUCCGACGGGAGGCAGCAGUGGGGAAUAUUGCACAAUGGGCGCAAGCCUGAUGCAGCCAUGCCGCGUGUAUGAAGAAGGCCUUCGGGUUGUAAAGUACUUUCAGCGGGGAGGCGUUACCCGCAGAAGAAGCACCGGCUAACUCCGUGCCAGCCGCCGCGGUAAUUC